rnacentral:rRNA from 1 species
UACAGAGGUCCCGAGCGUUGUUCGGAAUCACUGGGCGUAAAGGGUGCGUAGGCGGGUCUUUAAGUCAGGGGGGAAAUCCUGGAGCUCAACUCCAGAACUGCCUUUGAUACUGAGGAUCUUGAGUUCGGGAGAGGUGAGUGGAACUGCGAGUGUAGAGGUGAAAUUCGUAGAUAUUCGCAAGAACACCAGUGGCGAAGGCGGCUCACUGGCCCGGUACUGACGCUGAGGUGCGAAAGCGUGGGGAGCAAACAGG